rnacentral:rRNA from 1 species
GAUGAACGCUAGCGACAGGCCUAACACAUGCAAGUCGAGGGGCAUCAUAGAGGUAGCAAUACUUCGGUGGCGACCGGCGCACGGGUGAGUAACACGUAUGCAACCUUCCGUUUACACGGGGAUAAUCCGGCGAAAGUCGGUCUAAUACCCGAUGGUACUGAUUAAUUGCAUGAUUGAUUAGUUAAAGAUUUAUUGGUAAACGAUGGGCAUGCGUAACAUUAGCUAGUUGGUGAGGUAACGGCCCACCAAGGCAACGAUGUUUAGGGGUUCUGAGAGGAAGGUCCCCCACACUGGUACUGAGACACGGACCAGACUCCUACGGGAGGCAGCAGUGAGGAAUAUUGGUCAAUGGGCGAGAGCCUGAACCAGCCAAGUCGCGUGAAGGAAGACUGUCCUAUGGAUUGUAAACUUCUUUUGUAAGGGAAUAAAAAAGGGUACGUGUACUCUAUUGUAUGUACUUUACGAAUAAGGAUCGGCUAACUCCGUGCCAGCCGCCGCAGUAACAC